UACGGAGGGUGCAAGCGUUGCUCGGAUUUAUUGGGCGUAAAGGGUAGGUAGGUGGUCUUAUUUGUCUAGGGUGAAAUCCUUGAGCUUAACUCAAGAAGUGCCCUAGAAACGGUAAGACUAGAGUCCUGGAGAGGGUCGUGGAAUUCCACGUGUAGCAGUGAAAUGCGUAGAUAUGUGGAGGAACACCGAUGGCGAAGGCAGCCCCCUGGGUCAAAACUGACGCUCAUGCACGAAAGCGUGGGGAGCAAACAGG
rnacentral:rRNA from 1 species